GAAAAGUUACCUCGGGGAUAAUUGAGUUGUCACCAGCAAGAGCUCACAUCGACCUGGUGGCUUGCUACUUCGAUGUCGUCUCUUCCUAUCCUGGGUCUGCAGCAGGACCCAAGGGUGGGGUUGUUCGCCCAUUAAAAGGGAUCGUGAGAUGGGUUUAGACCGUCGUGAGACAGGUUUGUUGCUUUGUGGCUGAAGCGCGUAAGAUACCUGACGGGAAGGGGCUCUUAGUACGAGAGGAACGGAGUCUCGGUGCCACUAGUCUACCAGUUGUCUGCUAAGGCAAUGCUGGGUAGCCACGCACCAAUGGAUAAGAGCUGAAAGCAUCUAAGCUCGAAGUCAACCUGAAGACGAGGUAUCUCAGAGCUCCGAUAAAAGAUCGGUUUGAUAGACUGCGGGUGUAAGCACCAAGGUUCGCCGAGGUGUGUAGCCCAGCAGCACUAAUCGCUCGAGCAUCUUCUUUU
rnacentral:rRNA from 1 species